UACGUAGGGUGCAAGCGUUAAUCGGAAUUACUGGGCGUAAAGCGUGCGCAGGCGGCUUUGCAAGACAGAUGUGAAAUCCCCGGGCUUAACCUGGGAACUGCAUUUGAGACUGCGUAGCUAGGGUGCGGAAGAGGGAAGCGGAAUUUCCGGUGUAGCGGUGAAAUGCGUAGAUAUCGGAAGGAACACCAGUGGCGAAAGCGGCUUCCUGGUCCAGCACCGACGUUCAGGCACGAAAGCGUGGGGAGCAAACAGG
rnacentral:rRNA from 1 species